CACCAGUCGAGAAUUUUUCUCAAUGGGGGAAACCCUGAAGGAGCGACGCCGCGUGGAGGAUGAAGGUCUUCGGAUUGUAAACUCCUGUCAUGAGGGAGUAAGACAUCGCGUUAACUGCGUGGGUGUUUGAUAGUACCUCAAGAGGAAGAGACGGCUAACUCUGUGCCAGCAGCCGCGGUAAUACAGAGGUCUCAAGCGUUGUUCGGAUUCAUUGGGCGUAAAGGGUGCGUAGGCGGUUAGGUAAGUCAGACGUGAAAUUCCAGGGCUCAACCCUGGAACUGCGUUUGAUACUGCUUGACUAGAGUACUGGAGAGGAGACUGGAAUUCACGGUGUAGCAGUGAAAUGCGUAGAUAUCGUGAGGAAGACCAGUGGCGAAGGCGAGUCUCUGGACAGUAACUGACGCUGAGGCACGAAGGCUAGGGGAGCAAA
rnacentral:rRNA from 1 species